GAUGAACGCUGGCGGCGUGCCUAAUACAUGCAAGUCGAGCGAACAGACGAGGAGCUUGCUCCUCUGACGUUAGCGGCGGACGGGUGAGUAACACGUGGAUAACCUACCUAUAAGACUGGGAUAACUUCGGGAAACCGGAGCUAAUACCGGAUAAUAUAUUGAACCGCAUGGUUCAAUAGUGAAAGACGGUUUUGCUGUCACUUAUAGAUGGAUCCGCGCCGCAUUAGCUAGUUGGUAAGGUAACGGCUUACCAAGGCAACGAUGCGUAGCCGACCUGAGAGGGUGGUCGGCCACACUGGAACUGAGACACGGGCCAGACUCCUAAGGGAGGGAGCAGUAGGGAAUCUUCCGCAAUGGGCGAAAGCCUGACGGAGCAACGCCGCGUGAGUGAUGAAGGUCUUCGGAUCGGAAAACUCUGUUAUUAGGGAAGAACAAAUGUGUAAGUAACUAUGCACGUCUUGACGGUACCUAAUCAGAAAGCCACGGCUAACUACGUG
rnacentral:rRNA from 1 species